rnacentral:rRNA from 1 species
GACGAACGCUGGCGGCGUGCUUAACACAUGCAAGUCGAGCGAUGAAGUUCCUUCGGGAACGGAUUAGCGGCGGACGGGUGAGUAACACGUGGGUAACCUGCCUCAUAGAGGGGAAUAGCCUUUCGAAAGGAAGAUUAAUACCGCAUAAGAUUGUAGUAUCGCAUGAUACAGCAAUUAAAGGAGUAAUCCGCUAUGAGAUGGACCCGCGUCGCAUUAGCUAGUUGGUGAGGUAACGGCUCACCAAGGCGACGAUGCGUAGCCGACCUGAGAGGGUGAUCGGCCACAUGGGGACUGAGACACGGCCCAGACCCCUACGGGAGGCAGCAGUGGGGAAUAUUGCACAAUGGGGGAAACCCUGAUGCAGCAACGCCGCGUGAAUGAUGACGGUCUUCGGAUUGUAAAGCUCUGUCUUCAGGAACGAUAAUGACGGUACCUGAGGAGGAAGCCACGGCUAACUACGUGCCAGCAGCCGCCGUAA